GGGAGAGGAAAGAGAAAGUUGCCCGAGAUGUGGGGCUGGAAGGAGCAGGGGCAGGGGAUGGGAAGGCAGGGGAUCAGAGGCGGGCAACGGGGAGAAAGGAGGAAAAGUUGGGAGGCACGGAAAGGGAAGGAAAAGGCGAGUUGCAGGGAGGAUACUAUCCAGGAAGAAAGCGGAGGGAGGGGCGAGGCGAGACAGACAGCGAUGGAGGGGGAACCAGAGGGGCAUGGGAGAGUUGGCUGCUCCAGGCAGGGCCUACUCCGAGGGCUCAUCCAACAGAAGCUCUGCUAAAAAUGGCUGCUUUGCUUCCACUGCCCCUUCCCCCUCCCCCAGAGCUCGGCUCCCUUCCCUCCGUGUCCCCGGGCGGCUGCGAGCCCGGGGCCGCCACUCACCAGGCAGAAGAGGAAGUCAGAACGUUUUCUCGUCUUCUGGAGCUCCACCGGGGGGGUAAAGCCACAGUGGAAGGGGAGAGCAGAAAGAGGGAGGUGGUAAGUAAUCCAACGACGGGAGAUUAAGAUCAAAAUCCUCCCCGUUCCUCUUGUCUUCUCGUUCGCAUAAGGAGGGGAGGGAGAGGAGGUGAGGUGAAGGGGUAAUUGAUCCAACAAGAGAAUAAAAAUGGGGUAAUUAAUCCGGGGGGGCUAGGGCUAAAAAUCAGUUGACAUCCCUCCUUCCUCUCUUCUCAGAUGCCAAGCAAGAGAAGUAGGAAAACAUAAAUAAUCCAGCGGGGGCAAUCAAUCCAGAACCCCCCCUUCUCUUCCUCCUGUUCCUUUAGUCAUCAGAUGAGAAAGGGGCAAAUUGUGGAAUGACUGGGAAGGAUUGGCCGUGGGAGAGAGAAAAAUCCAGGCUCGUCUCUUCGGAGUCCGAGGGCAACAGGGUGUGGGGGGGUUAGAUUCUUCUCCCCUGCUCCAAAAAUAUUCCAAAUAAAUUAAAAUUUAAAAGCAUAAAAACAAA